UUAUUGGGCGUAAAGGGCUCGCAGGCGGUUUCUUAAGUCUGAUGUGAAAGCCCCCGGCUCAACCGGGGAGGGUCAUUGGAAACUGGGGAACUUGAGUGCAGAAGAGGAGAGUGGAAUUCCACGUGUAGCGGUGAAAUGCGUAGAGAUGUGGAGGAACACCAGUGGCGAAGGCGACUCUCUGGUCUGUAACUGACGCUGAGGAGCGAAAGCGUGGGGAGCGAACAGGAUUAGAUACCCUGGUAGUCCACGCCGUAAACGAUGAGUGCUAAGUGUUAGGGGGUUUCCGCCCCUUAGUGCUGCAGCUAACGCAUUAAGCACUCCGCCUGGGGAGUACGGUCGCAAGACUGAAACUCAAAGGAAUUGACGGGGGCCCGCACAAGCGGUGGAGCAUGUGGUUUAAUUCGAAGCAACGCGAAGAACCUUACCAGGUCUUGACAUCCUCUGACAAUCCUAGAGAUAGGACGUCCCCUUCGGGGGCAGAGUGACAGGUGGUGCAUGGUUGUCGUCAGCUCGUGUCGUGAGAUGUUGGGUUAAGUCCCGCAACGAGCGCAACCCUUGAUCUUAGUUGCCAGCAUUCAGUUGGGCACUCUAAGGUGACUGCCGGUGACAAACCGGAGGAAGGUGGGGAUGACGUCAAAUCAUCAUGCCCCUUAUGACCUGGGCUACACACGUGCUACAAUGGGCAGAACAAAGGGCAGCGAAACCGCGAGGUUAAGCCAAUCCCACAAAUCUGUUCUCAGUUCGGAUCGCAGUCUGCAACUCGACUGCGUGAAGCUGGAAUCGCU
rnacentral:rRNA from 1 species